AAUAGAUACCCCGGUAGUCCACGCCGUAAACGAUGAGUGCUAAGUGUUAGAGGGUUUCCGCCCUUUAGUGCUGAAGUUAACGCAUUAAGCACUCCGCCUGGGGAGUACGGCCGCAAGGCUGAAACUCAAAGGAAUUGACGGGGGCCCGCACAAGCGGUGGAGCAUGUGGUUUAAUUCGAAGCAACGCGAAGAACCUUACCAGGUCUUGACAUCCUCUGACAACCCUAGAGAUAGGGCUUCUCCUUCGGGAGCAGAGUGACAGGUGGUGCAUGGUUGUCGUCAGCUCGUGUCGUGAGAUGUUGGGUUAAGUCCCGCAACGAGCGCAACCCUUGAUCUUAGUUGCCAUCAUUAAGUUGGGCACUCUAAGGUGACUGCCGGUGACAAACCGGAGGAAGGUGGGGAUGACGUCAAAUCAUCAUGCCCCUUAUGACCUGGGCUACACACGUGCUACAAUGGACGGUACAAAGAGCUGCAAGACCGCGAGGUGGAGCUAAUCUCAUAAAACCCGUUCUCAGUUCGGA
rnacentral:rRNA from 1 species